rnacentral:lncRNA from 1 species
UUAGUGGGGAUGAUUAUAUUGAUGAAAACUCUCAUGAAACCAUGAAUUUGAGAAACAAUAUGAAAAUUAAAAUAGGUGGAAUUAUUGUUACUAGUUUUCAUUAGAUUGGAAGGUAUAAUUAUUUUUAUGAGUGGGAUGAAGGUAAAUUUGGAUGUAGUAUAUAUUUGUGAAGGUAUUAGAAAGUAGAAUUAGCUCUUAUUGAUUAAAGGAAAAUUUGGAAAAAUUAUUCAAAGUAUCGAGAAGUCAAGUUUUAGUAUUCGACUAUUAAUAUUAAGAAAUACUUAGUACGAGAUUUGUUAAAUUAGUUAUUUUACAUCGUAUUUCAGGCGGUGACGUGAAAGCU